GAUGAACGCUGGCGGCGUGCUUAACACAUGCAAGUCGAACGGUGAAGCAGGAGCUUGCUCUUGUGGAUCAGUGGCGAACGGGUGAGUAACACGUGAGCAACCUGCCCCUGACUCUGGGAUAAGCGCUGGAAACGGCGUCUAAUACUGGAUAUGUGAUGUGACCGCAUGGUCUGCAUCUGGAAAGAAUUUCGGUUGGGGAUGGGCUCGCGGCCUAUCAGCUUGUUGGUGAGGUAAUGGCUCACCAAGGCGUCGACGGGUAGCCGGCCUGAGAGGGUGACCGGCCACACUGGAACUGAGGCACGGCCCAGACUCCUACGGGAGGCAGCAGUGGGGAAUAUUGCACAAUGGGCGGAAGCCUGAUGCAGCAACGCCGCGUGAGGGAUGACGGCCUUCGGGUUGUAAACCUCUUUUAGCAGGGAAGAAGCGAAAGUGACGGUACCUGCAGAAAAAGCACCGGCUAACUACGUGCCAGCAGCCGCGGUAA
rnacentral:rRNA from 1 species